rnacentral:rRNA from 1 species
GAUGAACGCUGGCGGCGUGCUUAACACAUGCAAGUCGAACGGACUGAGGGAGCUUGCUCCCAAAGUUAGUGGCGGACGGGUGAGUAACGCGUGGGUAACCUGCCCUAUGCAGGGGGAUAACGUUCGGAAACGAACGCUAAUACCGCAUAACCUAGUCGGUUCGCAUGAACUGAUUAGCAAAGAUUUUAUCGGCAUAGGAUGGACCCGCGUUAGAUUAGCUAGUUGGUGAGAUAACAGCCCACCAAGGCAACGAUCUAUAGCCGGCCUGAGAGGGUGAACGGCCACACUGGGACUGAGACACGGCCCAGACUCCUACGGGAGGCAGCAGUGGGGAAUAUUGCACAAUGGGCGCAAGCCUGAUGCAGCGACGCCGCGUGAAGGAUGAAGGUCUUCGGAUCGUAAACUUCUAUCAGCAGGGAAGAAUACCAUGACGGUACCUGACUAAGAAGCCCCGGCUAACUACGUGCCAGCCGCCGCAGUAAGAC